GACGAACGCUGGCGGCGUGCCUAAUACAUGCAAGUCGAACGCAGUGGGGACGGGUGAGUAACACGUGGGUAACCUACCAUCAGAGGGGAUAACACUUGGAAACAGGUGCUAAACCGAUAGUGAUGGAUGGACCCGCGGUGCAUUAGUUAGUUGGUGAGGUAACGGCUCAACAGGGCAACGAUGCAUAGCCGACCUGAGAGGGGGAUCGUCCACACGGGGACUGAGACACGGCCCAGACUCCUACGGUAGGCAGCAGGAGGGAAGCUGAUGCAAUGGACGAAAGUCUGACCGAGCAACGCCGCGUGAGUGAAGAAGGUUUUCGGAUCGUAAAACUCUGUUGUUAGAGAAGCGGUAUCUAACCAGAAAGCCACGGCUAACUACGUGCCAGCAGCCGCGGUAAUAC
rnacentral:rRNA from 1 species